rnacentral:sRNA from 1 species
ACAUACCCCAUGUCUCACCACGAUGAUGGAGCUACAGUGGGACUUGGAAUCCAGAUGUGUGAAGGAUGGAGGGUUGAAGCCGCACUCAGCUUCCUGCCCCACCAGAGGAAGUGGGGAGAGACGGCAGGUGCAGUGAUGGCUGGCGGAGUCAUGGACAAGGAGUACGUGGGUUUUGCUGCCCUCCCCAACCAGCUGCACCGCAAGUCUGUCAAGAAGGGGUUUGACUUCACGCUAAUGGUGGCAGGUCUGGGGGUUUUGGAGAGGGAACUGCGGAGGGGAUGUCCUUAGGAGACCCUGGCUGUCCCCUCCCCUGACCAGUUGGGCCUGUUCUGUCCACAGGGGAGUCAGGCCUAGGGAAAUCCACCCUCAUCAACAGCCUCUUCCUCACCAACCUCUAUGAGGAUCGCCAGGUGCCAGAGGCCAGUGCUCGCUUGACACAGACCCUGGCCAUUGAGCGCCGGGGCGUA